rnacentral:rRNA from 1 species
GAACGGCAGCGCGGGAGCAAUCCUGGCGGCGAGUGGCGAACGGGUGAGUAAUAUAUCGGAACGUGCCCAUUAGUGGGGGAUAGCCCGGCGAAAGCCGGAUUAAUACCGCAUACGACCUGAGGGUGAAAGCGGGGGAUCGCAAGACCUCGCGCUAUUGGAGCGGCCGAUAUCAGAUUAGCUAGUUGGUGGGGUAAAAGCCUACCAAGGCAACGAUCUGUAGUUGGUCUGAGAGGACGACCAGCCACACUGGGACUGAGACACGGCCCAGACUCCUACGGGAGGCAGCAGUGGGGAAUUUUGGACAAUGGGCGCAAGCCUGAUCCAGCAAUGCCGCGUGCAGGAAGAAGGCCUUCGGGUUGUAAACUGCUUUUGUCAGGGAAGAAAUCCUUUGGGUUAAUACCUCGAAGGGAUGACGGUACCUGAAGAAUAAGCACCGGCUAACUACGUG